rnacentral:rRNA from 1 species
GGGUCAGUAGGUUGGUCGUGCCACCGGUACGUACUGGUCUCACUGAUUCCUCCUUCCUGAAGAACCGUAAUGCUAUUAAUUUGGUGUUGCGGGGAAACAGGACUGUUACUUUGAAAAAAUUAGAGCGUUUAAAGCAAGCUAACGCUUGAAUACAUUAGCAUGGAAUAAUGAAAUAGGACGAUCGAUCCUAUUUUGUUGGUUUCUAGGAUUGACGUA